AAAGAGGUUGGAGUCCAUUUAAAACGAGGAGGAGGAGGAUGACUGGGAAGCAUGGAGGAGGAAGAUCAAGGGGUAGGAGAGAAAUGGUGGGUGGACAUGGAGGAGGAGAGAAGGAGGAUGGAGAACGUGGGAGGAGGAGGAUCAAGGAGUGAUGAGAGAGGAUGGGGAGGGCGGCCCAGGAGGUGGACGAGAUGGACGGAGGAUCAAGGAGUGAUGAGAGAGGAUGGGGAGGGCGGCCCAGGAGGUGGACGAGAUGGACGGAGGUGGCGGAUGAGACGGCGCCGAAGGAGAACCAGGAGAAAGAGGAUGUGAAGCUGGAGGAAGCAGACGGGAAGGCUGGAGGACAUGAAGGAGGGUGGGGAAGGAUGGAGGAGAACGGAGCAGGGGGCGCGUGUUGGAGAAGGAGAGGGAGAGGAGGAGGGCAGAUGAGAAAGGGCAGGCGGAGGAGGGUGGAGGAGGAUGCAGGGGCAGGGUGAAG
rnacentral:lncRNA from 1 species